GAUGAACGCUGGCGGCGUGCCUAAUACAUGCAAGUCGAGCGAACAGACGAGGAGCUUGCUCCUCUGACGUUAGCGGCGGACGGGUGAGUAACACGUGGAUAACCUACCUAUAAGACUGGGAUAACUUAGGGAAACCGGAGCUAAUACCGGAUAAUAUAUUGAACCGCAUGGUUCAAUAGUGAAAGACGGUUUUGCUGUCACUUAUAGAUGGAUCCGCGCCGCAUUAGCUAGUUGGUAAGGUAACGGCUUACCAAGACAACGAUGCGUAGCCGACCUGAGAGGGUGAUCGGCCACACUGGAACUGAGACACGGUCCAGACUCCUACGGGAGGCAGCAGUAGGGAAUCUUCCGCAAUGGGCGAAAGCCUGACGGAGCAACGCCGCGUGAGUGAUGAAGGUCUUCGGAUCGUAAAACUCUGUUAUUAGGGAAGAACAAAUGUGUAAGUAACUAUGCACGUCUUGACGGUACCUAAUCAGAAAGCCACGGCUAACUACGUG
rnacentral:rRNA from 1 species